rnacentral:rRNA from 1 species
GUGAACGCUGGCGGUAGGCCUAACACCUUCAAGUCGCACCGCAGCACAGUAAGAGCUUGCUCUUACGGGUGGCGAGUGGCGGACGGGUGAGGAAUACAUCGGAAUCUACUUUUUCGUGGGGGAUAACGUAGGGAAACUUACGCUAAUACCGCAUACGACCUACGGGUGAAAGCAGGGGAUCUUCGGACCUUGCGCGAUUGAAUGAGCCGAUGUCGGAUUAGCUAGUUGGCGGGGUAAAGGCCCACCAAGGCGACGAUCCGUAGCUGGUCUGAGAGGAUGAUCAGCCACACUGGAACUGAGACACGGUCCAGACUCCUACGGGAGGCAGCAGUGGGGAAUAUUGGACAAUGGGCGCAAGCCUGAUCCAGCCAUACCGCGUGGGUGAAGAAGGCCUUCGGGUUGUAAAGCCCUUUUGUUGGGAAAGAAAAGCAGCAGGUUAAUACCCCGCUGUUCUGACGGUACCCAAAGAAUAAGCACCGGCUAACUUCGUG